rnacentral:misc_RNA from 1 species
UCAAUUGUAUCCAUUGUAUCUGUCAUUUUUGAUUUGGGCGGUACGUUGGGCGUUUUGGCGAUUACUUUUAGAUAACUAAAGAUUAUUAGACCUAUUGUUAAAAUUUAAAUUACAAAAUGGAUUUCUUUAAAGACGAAAGUGAUGAUUAUAUGUUUGAGGCCGUUCUAUUUGAAUCUAUGGUAGCUAUAGAAAAUAAUGAUCGAAGAAAAUAUAGUCGCAUCAAUUAUCAAGCGAACUUUCAAUCUCUGAAUUCACAUUUAGAUUCAGAUUGAACCAGUUUUGUCAUUGUCAGUGAGUUAAAAUUUUACCGAAUUUAAGAGUAACAUCCAGCUGAAACUAUGGUGUAUCGCCACUAUACAAAUUGCUGCUAACACUUAGGUUCUAUGCAUUGGGCACAAUGCUAAUAUAUGUUGCGGACUUCAUUGGAGUUUCAAAAGCGUGAAUACAGCAAGCAGAAUUGUUAAUGAUGUAUCCUGUGCAAUAGCUGGAUUAUAUCCACAAUAUGUUCAAGUAUUAUAAAAUCCUCAGUGUCUUUUGUUAUUGUGAAUUUCCUAAAGUUUUUGGUGCAAUUGAAUGUGUCUCCAGUAAGUGAUCUUUACUGUUAAAAUUUUUCUCAAAACAAGCAUUGCCUGAAUUCCCAUUACACUUCUCAAAUGUAAUUAAAUUAAGGUUUUUAUUUUUUUAGAUUCCAAUGUAGGAAAACAGUACAGAAGUAGGAAAGGAAUAUUCUCAAAUAAUGUUCAAGGAGCAUGUAAUAUGGAUCUAUUGUUCUUUAUAUAUGUAGUCGCUCAGGUCAGUGGCCAGGGCCUUUUCAUGAUACUACUAUAUUCAACAACUCCAUUCUGUUCUUAAAAUGCAAUGUAAGGGCAGGAAUUAUAGAAAUAGGUGGCUUAUUGCGACAGUCCUUAUGCUUGUACAUGAUGUAAGCAUAUAUCAAAGCUAGAUACACAAUAGAAAGGUAUUAUUAUAAUUUCUUGCUUGUUUGUUAUGGCUAUUAUUCACACAAGUGUGCUCAAUUUACGAUAAAUAUUUUCAGAUGCUUUAGUGUAAGGGAAAAGGUGCUUUACCGUGCUUUCAUUAAAACUUCACCUAUUAUUACAAACAUCACAAACUAUUAUUAUUGCUGCUUCUGUGUUACACAACAUUUACUGACUUAACAAUGUUAUUGAUAUGGACCAGAUGUAGAGAUACUGACUGAGCAAAUUGACGAUCUUCCAAUUGAAGAAGUUGUAUGUGAACAUAAUAGUGCAAAGCAACAUCUGAUAAAUAAUUAUUUUAGAUGUUAUGUAUCUGCUGUCAUACUUUAAGAUGUUAUCUCAAAAUAUUUCCAAUUUGGAAAAUUUUUGAAAUUUGUGUUGGCUGAUAAUUUCAGCCCAAUAUAAAUAUAUAAAGAAAAACAUUUAAAUUUUUUUUCAAUUUAUACCUUAAAAAAUUUAUAUUUUGAAUAGAUAACAAAAAUUUAAUUAAAUUAAUGUUUAAUUUGGUAUACAUUAUGUAAAUAAAAAUAAAUCUUCAUUAACAAUGUUUUAAAUAUGGCUACUAGUAAACAUUAACAAAUAUAAAUACAAAAAUAAC